rnacentral:lncRNA from 1 species
CCCACCCCCCCCACACACACUCUUCAUUGAUGUCAUUAAUAUCAAAAUAUUCUUCACACAAUAAGAUCUGAAACUAUGGUAAAAAUUCAUUGAAAUGUAAAAUUGAAAACAAUUUGUGUUAUUAUUUAGAUAUGGUUUAAGGAUACACUCCCAAAAUUACAUAUGUUGGAGGCCUGAUCCUCAGGGUGGUGCUAUUGGGAUAUGGUGAGAUCUUUAAGAGGUGAGAAAUAGUGCGAGGUCCUUUGGUAGAUUGGGGACCUGCCCUUGGAGGUGAUUUUCAGACCCCAGAUUCUCUGGCUUCCUGUUUCAAGGUGUAAUGUCAGAACUGGGGAAUGCAGUUGAGUGGUAGAACAAGCUUGCUUAAUAUGUAAGAGGUCCUGGGUUCAAUCCCCUAAUACAGAAUAAAACAAUCAAGAUUUGAUCUUUUCUCCACACAUGUUCCCACCAUGAUGUGAUACAGCCAAGAGGGCCCUCACCAAAGCUGAGCUGAUGCCAGUGCCAUGCUCUGGAUCUCCAAAACUGUGACAAACUUCUUUUCUUUAUAAAGCUAGUGUGUCUUAGGUAUUUUGUUAGACUAAAACAAAAUGAAAUUGAUACAACUUAGAUGGAAGGGAAUUCAGAGCUCAUUUUAAUCAAAUGUAAUGAGCAUUUUCUCCUUAUUCUGGGAUGAGUAUUAUACAUUUACUAAGCAAAUAUUUCUGUUCUCAUUCCUCUAUGAUUUCCUUAUCAUAUAACAUUCUUUAUUUACACAGAAGGAUUCAUAGAUCAUUGAAGCAAAAGAAGUGCAGCAAUGGAAUUUGUUCUUAUUACAUUCCCUAUUAUCCUGAAGUGGCUGGCUUGAUAAAUGCUGGAAUAACAUUUGGAAGACUUGGUUACAGUGUUGGCUAUGUGGCAAAAACUCGCAGGACUAGUGCAAGAUUCUCUGGGGGUUGUUAUGCUCUGAAUCAGCAUCCAGUGUAUGUGAUGUUUCUCUUACAGCCAAGGUUCAUUUGAUCAAGAAUUCAAGGGUAGAAGUGGCAAUGGCAUCAUUCACUUUUAUCCCUAGUGACCCAUUAACACAAGUUUUGUGUCCUUUUCCCAUAACUUUAUGUUAUACUUGCUUGGAGACCUUAGUUCCAGAAGGAAAUAUGUUUCUGCCAGUAGGCAUAAGAAUGACUCCAUGGCCACCUAGUGACUUUGGGCUUCUUGUGCCUCUGAGUCAACUGGCAAAGAAGAGGAUUUAUGGUGCUGGCUGGGAUGAUAGAUCCGAGCUAUCAAGAAGGGAUUGGAUGCCUACUCUACAAUGGAGGUAAGAAGAGUAUGCCCAGAAUGGAGGAGAUCCUUUAAGGCAACUCAUGAUUUUCAUGCCCUGUGAUCAAGGUCAAUUGAAACUAUAAUAUCCUGAUAGAGACAGGAUUAUUAAAGGACAUAUGCUUCUGGAAUAAAAGUUUGGGUUAUCCCACCAGCUAAAGAACCAGGACCAAUUGAGGUGUUUGUAGAAGGCAAAU